rnacentral:misc_RNA from 1 species
CAACUUCUCUAUUCUCCGGUUGCCCACAACUCUCGCCUCCUCUCUCUUUUAGCUCUUUCAUUUCAUGUAAAUAUGUGUUCUACAAUCCCUUUGUAGAACCUGCAGAGAUCCGAACUUCCGGCUGAGGGUUUCCAAUCGCCGACGACGGCGAUGAUUCAAUCUCCGGUAAGGCCAAUCGAGAAUCAUCAUCAAUGUUAGAUCCAUUUGUUUUAUUUCGCCUUCGAUCCAAACUUUGGUUCCACAGGAGGAAAAAAGAAAGCACUUUUCCCUAAUCAAUUUGAUACAUUUUGUUUUGUAUGUUAGAAAUCUUUGUAGUUUGUAUCAUAUAGCGGAAACUUUUUGUUUUUGCAUAGUUUGUUUUCCGAAUUUUGUACAGUUUGGGACGAGGGAUUUUCUUUUUGUUUUUGUGAAUAUUGGGAAAGUGGCAAAGAUGAAUUUGAGCGCGGCUGAGGAUGAAUCGGAGCAAGAAAUUCAUAUUCCUGCCGAUAUUGAUUGGGAAAUGCUUGAUAAAUCGAAAUUCUUCUUCCUUGGUGCUGCGCUCUUUUCAGGUGUAUCGGCUACUCUUUAUCCUGUGGUUGUUUUAAAAACCAGGCAACAGGUUGCCCAAUCUCAGGUUUCGUGCAUGAAGACAGCUUUUGGGAUUGUCAGGCAUGAGGGUUUUAGGGCUUUGUAUCGAGGAUUUGGGACCUCCUUGACGGGUACAAUCCCUGCUAGAGCACUGUACAUGGCAGCGCUUGAGGUUACCAAGAGUAACGUGGGGACUGCCACUAUCCAAUUAGGGUUUCCAGAGGCGGCGGCAGGAGCGAUUGCCAAUGCUGCUGCUGGGCUGAGUGCAGCCAUGGCAGCUCAACUUGUUUGGACCCCAAUUGAUGUUGUGAGCCAAAGGCUUAUGGUUCAGGGAGGUGGUUUAAAUUCCGUUCCUAAUGCGUCAACUUGUAAAUAUGCUAAUGGGAUUGAUGCGUUUAGGAAAAUUGUCCGCACGGAUGGACCGAGGGGAUUGUAUAGAGGGUUUGGGAUAUCCAUUUUGACAUAUGCCCCAUCAAAUGCGGUUUGGUGGGCUUCAUACUCUGUUGCUCAGAGGAUGGUUUGGGGUGGUGUGGGUUGUUACAUUUACAAGAAAGAUGAAGAUGGGAAUGAGAAUGGGUUCAAUGCAUUGAGACCAGAUUCAAAAACUGUAAUGGCAGUUCAGGGAGUCAGUGCAGCGAUGGCAGGUGGUUUUUCAGCUUUAAUUACAAUGCCACUUGAUACAAUUAAGACCAGAUUGCAAGUUUUGGAUGGGGAGGAGAAUGGGAGGCGUGGACCAACUAUUGGGCAGACUAUUAGAAAUCUGGUUAGGGAAGGUGGUUGGACGGCUUGUUACAGGGGAUUGGGGCCUCGCUGGGC